AACCCAGUAACCCAAAUACCCCAACGUUUCUUCUCCCUCCUCACUCAUUUUAAUUACCCACUAAACCCCUUUCCUUCUUUUUUGCUUUAAUGCUCUAAACCGAUAUUCCCUUCUUCCUCAUUCUCACCGGCAUAAUCAAAGACAACGCGCGUAACUCCUCGAUCCUCUUCUUGCUCUGAUCUUCGAAGGAUUUGGGCUGCAAAAAAUUAGUUAAUUUUCCUCUCUUUCGUGAUUUUUCAAGGAGUGUUGUAGCAGCCGAAAUCUUCCUCCCUUUGCCUCUGAAUUCUGCCGAAAUGGGGAGGAAAUGAGUGAGGUUUGGUCCUGUUUAAACAUCAAGAUUCAAGUUGAAAAACCAAAUUUCGAAAUCUGUUUUUCCAUUUACUUGUUGCUGUCCACAGAGGAGACGACGUCAUCGAGGAACCUUUCUAGUGAUUGCGGAGAAACUGACUUAGCUCCUUGAAGCAUCUUUGUUUGACUACAGAUCGAAACUGACCAGGAACGAUGGGUUAGCGUUGUUGAUUAGAGAAACAAGGAUGUCAUAUUGAGCUGAGCAUCGGGGAAUUUUGUAGUUUUGUAUUAGGUUAUUGGAUAAAUGUAUAUUAGACUUGGUUUUGUUGGUUAUAUUGAACUUAAAGUGAUCUGUACAUUUACCUUGUGUUUUGAUUAAACGUUUGGUUUGAGAAUUAGCUGAGUUAGUUACGUUAAAGAGCUGGUGACCCCCCUUUGCUCAAGUUUUUGGAAGUGUGAUUUAAGUUUCUUGGGGAAAUGAAUUCCGUGAUGACCCUGUUUACUCAGUCAACGGUAAGUUGGGUUGUUACAGGAACAUUCUUAAAAGAAUGAAAGAAGUAUGUAUUAGCAUAACAAAUGAGAUAACAAUGUAUUUCUCAUCCAUAACUAUAUGUACUUUUAUAUCAUCUACAUCUUCUUCAUCCGUUUA